UCUGGGCACAGUGGUGCAUACCUAUAGUACCAGCCACUCAGGAGGCUGAGGCAGGAGGAUCACUUGAGUCACAGGAAUUCUGGGUUUUAGUGCAUUAUGCCAAUUGGGUAUCUGCUUUAACUUCAGCAUUAGUGCAGUGACCCCUCAGAAGCAGGGGACCACCAGGUUACCCAAGGAGGGUGAACCGGCCCGGGUAGCAAAUAGAGCAGAUCAAAUAACUCUCCUAUGCUGAUCAGUAGUGGGAUUGCACCUGUAAAAAGCCACUGCACUGCAGCCUGGACAACAUAGUGAAACCCGUCUCUU
rnacentral:SRP_RNA from 1 species